GGUUAAGUUAGAAAGGGCGCACGGUGGAUGCCUUGGCACUAGGAGCCGAAGAAGGACGGGACUAACACCGAUAUGCUUUGGGGAGCUGUACGUAAGCGUUGAUCCAGAGAUUUCCGAAUGGGGGAACCCACUAUCUUUAGUCGGAUAGUAUCCUUACGUGAAUACAUAGCGUAAGGAAGGCAGACCCAGGGAACUGAAACAUCUAAGUACCUGGAGGAAGAGAAAGAAAAAUCGAUUUCCUGAGUAGCGGCGAGCGAAACGGAAAGAGCCCAAACCAAGAAGCUUGCUUCUUGGGGUUGUAGGACACUCUAUACGGAGUUACAAAGGAAUGUGGUAAACGAAGUGGUCUGGAAAGGCCCGCCAAAGAAGGUAACAGCCCUGUAAUUGAAAGCAUAUUCCCUCCAGAGUGGAUCCUGAGUACGGCGGAACACGUGAAAUUCCGUCGGAAUCCGGGAGGACCAUCUCCCAAGGCUAAAUACUCCCUAGUGACCGAUAGUGAACCAGUACCGUGAGGGAAAGGUGAAAAGCACCCCGGAAGGGGAGUGAAACAGUUCCUGAAACCGUGUGCCUACAAGUAGUUAGAGCCCGUUAAUGGGUGAUAGCGUGCCUUUUGUAGAAUGAACCGGCGAGUUACGAUUUGUUGCAAGGUUAAGCGGAAAAAGCGGAGCCGUAGCGAAAGCGAGUCUGAAUAGGGCGCAUGAGUAACAGGUCGUAGACCCGAAACCAGGUGAUCUACCCAUGUCCAGGAUGAAGGUGAGGUAAUACUCACUGGAGGUCCGAACCCACGCACGUUGAAAAGUGCGGGGAUGAGGUGUGGGUAGCGGAGAAAUUCCAAUCGAACCUGGAGAUAGCUGGUUCUCUCCGAAAUAGCUUUAGGGCUAGCCUCGAGGUAAAGAGUCGUGGAGGUAGAGCACUGUUUGGACUAGGGGCCCUUCUCGGGUUACCGAAUUCAGAUAAACUCCGAAUGCCAUGUACUUAUACUCGGGAGUCAGACUGCGAGUGAUAAGAUCCGUAGUCGAAAGGGAAACAGCCCAGACCACCAGUUAAGGUCCCAAAAUAUAUGUUAAGUGGAAAAGGAUGUGGGGUUGCAUAGACAACCAGGAUGUUGGCUUAGAAGCAGCCACCAUUGAAAGAGUGCGUAAUAGCUCACUGGUCGAGUGACCCCGCGCCGAAAAUGUACCGGGGCUAAACAUAUUACCGAAACUGUGGAUGAACCUCUU
rnacentral:rRNA from 1 species